rnacentral:rRNA from 1 species
UACGUAGGGGGCAAGCGUUGUCCGGAAUCAUUGGGCGUAAAGAGCGUGUAGGCGGUUCGGUAAGUCGGCUGUGAAAGUCCAGGGCUCAACCCUGGGAUGCCGGUCGAUACUGUCGGGCUCGAGUCCGGAAGAGGCGAGUGGAAUUCCUGGUGUAGCGGUGAAAUGCGCAGAUAUCAGGAGGAACACCAAUGGCGAAGGCAGCUCGCUGGGACGUGACUGACGCUGAGACGCGAAAGCGUGGGGAGCAAACAGG